UACGUAGGGUGCAAGCGUUAAUCGGAAUUACUGGGCGUAAAGCGUGCGCAGGCGGUUGUGCAAGACAGAUGUGAAAUCCCCGGGCUUAACCUGGGAACUGCGUCUGAUACUGGAAGGCUUGAGGAUGGGAGAGGGAUGUAGAAUUCCAGGUGUAGCGGAUGAAAUGCGUAGAUAUCUGGAGGAACACCGGUGGCGAAGGCGGCAUCCUGGACCAACACUGACACUGAGGAGCGAAAGCCAGGGGAGCAAACGGG
rnacentral:rRNA from 1 species